AUUAGAUGCACCCAAGAGAAAAUUUGUUGCUUGUCUUGGGCCUAUUUGAAGCCCCCAACCACUCAGAGAAAGGGAAAAGGAAGAGGAGAAAAAUCACCCCAAACCCCCUCUCUGGUGGACAGGAAAAAUUUCCCGGUCGCUGUCGAAUAAAAGUGAGGGGAUUAGGGGAAGAGGGAAAAGAACAUGUCAACUUUAAUCAGUUUUAAUUAUUUGAUAUGGAAAAAAAGGGUGCUACAUGGAUGCAAAUCAUAAAAAGAUGAAACAAUUAUUAGUAGUUUUUUAAUAUUCUAAAUGCAUGAUGGUAUUAAAUAAUGAUAAUUAAAAUCCCAUCCUUACUCUGGUUUUUGAAUGUUCUGAAUUAUAGACAAAUAAUUAUUGGUGUUUCCAUCUCCAUGCUGCCAGACCAAGUGAAUCUUAACCCUGGAAUCUAUUUCUCCACAUUUCUUUUUAAUGGCCCACUAACUGAACAAUACAUGAGCAACAUUCAUCCUUGCAUUUUCUUCCCUAAUAUUUUUUAUUGGCGUUUUUGCCAGACACUAGAGAAAUG
rnacentral:misc_RNA from 1 species